rnacentral:rRNA from 1 species
UACGUAGGGCGCAAGCGUUGUCCGGAAUUAUUGGGCGUAAAGAGCUCGUAGGCGGCCCGGAAAGUCGGAUGUGAAAACCCGGGGCUCAACCCCGGGCCUGCAUCCGAUACUCCCGGGCUGGAGGCAGGUAGGGGAGAUCGGAAUUCCUGGUGUAGCGGUGAAAUGCGCAGAUAUCGGGAAGAACACCCGUGGCGAAGGCGGUUCUCUGGGACGGUACUGACGCUGAGACGCGAAAGCGUGGGGAGCGAUCCGG